GAGUAACUUUUACAAAUAGCCAGUGGGAACCGGGGAGUGGAGGGGGUGGGGGCACGCGUGAGGUUCCUUUCCUCUGAAGCCUUGGUUCUUUAAAAUGGCAGCAUAACCACUUUUUCCGUGCACACACAGGGAUAUUUGAAGGCAUCAGUGAAAAGGAUGCAGAACGUAAACAUGGAGCAGAGGACACGGUGGGUUGGCAGAUGUGGGCUGGGUCCUGGAAACCCACAUGGACCUGGAAGUUUACUCCAUCCUGAGUUCUCAUCGUGGCUCUGUGCGCUCUGCUUCUCUGGGAAUCUCGCGCAGUUGGAGUCUUUCUGGACACUUCUCAGUGCCUGGCUGUGUGGGGUAGAAGCAAGUAUUUGUGAAACUCGAGCUAGGGUAUUAUCAUUUUCCAUCUGUGCUACCAUGUGAAAAAUGUUGGGAAACUCUACUGGAAACUGACCUCGCUCUUGGGACCCACCCUGCCAGGCAAAAGAGGACCCUUGAGGAAAGAGUUUGGAAAGAGAUGGUGGUCAGAAAAGAGCUGUCAGGAUUUUCCAGUGUCUAGAGGUGCAUUGCUUGAAAAGCAGCGGAAUAUGUUACACUGGAGAAGAGAAGACUGUAAGGGGUUAGAUGCUUCAUCUGCAAGAACAGUAGACUUGCCCUGACGGUAUAAUCAGGCCAGUGAGAAGACAGCAUAUGCACAUAGAUUUGAGCUCAGUAAAGAAUAAACCUGAGCAGUCCCACAAGGGAACAGUACUCCCCAGAGGAUAAGCUGCCAAAUAUUGGCAUUGUUCAAACAGAGGUGCAAGGAACACCUGCCAG